rnacentral:snoRNA from 1 species
CUGCAGUCAAUGAAGCCGGCUGGGUGCCUUUGCAGGUGAGCGCCCGGUGUGCAGAGGCUGUGCACAGCAAGCAGCUCCUCGUGGUGUGCGCAGCCUGUUGCUUGUACGGGCUGCCCUAGGGACCUCGGAGACACUG